AAUCAUAUUUUUUCUCCUGAUUUUUAGCAUUUUUAGAAGGAAAAAGCUAAAAAUUAGGAGGAAAAAUUUGAUUU
rnacentral:pre_miRNA from 1 species